AUACGGCCAUAUCAUGUUGAAACACAGGGUCUCGAACGAUCAUAGAAGUUAAGCAACGUCGGGCCUGAACAGUAACGAGAUGGGCGACCGCUUGAGAAUACCAGGUACUA